rnacentral:rRNA from 1 species
AUACGGAGGGUGCAAGCGUUAUUCGGAUUUACUGGGCGUAAAGGGCGCGUAGGCGGCUUGAUAAGUCAGUCGUGAAAGCCCGGGGCUCAACCCCGGAAGUGCGAUUGAAACUAUCAGGCUUGAGUAUGGUAGAGGGAAGUGGAAUUCCUGGUGUAGCGGUGAAAUGCGUAGAUAUCAGGAGGAACACCGGUGGCGAAGGCGACUUCCUGGACCAAUACUGACGCUGAUGCGCGAAGGUGUGGGUAGC